rnacentral:rRNA from 1 species
GUAGGUGGCAAGCGUUUGUCCGGAAUUAGUUGGGACGUAAAGCGCGCGCAGGCGGUUUCUUUAAGUCUGAUGUAGAAACGCCCACGGCUCAACCGUGGAGGGUCAUUGGAAACUGGAGAACUUGAGUACAGAAGAGGAAAGCGGAAUUCCACGUGUAGCGGUGAAAUGCGUAGAGAUGUGGAGGAACACCAGUGGCGAAGGCGGCUUUUCUGGUCUGUAACUGACGCUGAGGCGCGAAAGCGUGGGGAGCAAACAGGGAUUAGAUACCCUGGUAGUCCACGCCGUAAACGAUGAGUGCUAAGUGUUAGGGGGUUUCCGCCCCCUUAGUGCUGCAGCUAACGCAUUAAGCACUCGCCUGGGGAUACGCGCAAGGCUG